rnacentral:rRNA from 1 species
CCUACGGGUGGCAGCAGUGAGGAAUAUUGGUCAAUGGACGAGAGUCUGAACCAGCCAAGUAGCGUGAAGGAUGACUGCCCUAUGGGUUGUAAACUUCUUUUAUAUGGGAAUAAAAUGUUCCACGUGUGGGAUUUUGUAUGUACCAUAUGAAUAAGGAUCGGCUAACUCCGUUCCAGCAGCCGCGGUAAUACGGAGGAUCCGAGCGUUAUCCGGAUUUAUUGGGGUUAAAGGGAGCGUAGGUGGAUUGUUAAGUCAGUUGUGAAAGUUUGCGGCUCAACCGUAAAAUUGCAGUUGAAACUGGCAGUCUUGAGUACAGUAGAGGUGGGGGGAAUUCGUGGUGUAGCGGUGAAAGGCUUAGAUAUCACGAAGAACUCCGAUUGCGAAGGCAGCUCACUGGACUGUAACUGACACUGAGGCUCGAAAGUGUGGGUAUCAAACAGGAUUAGAUACCCCAGUAGUC